UCCCACGUGGCUGAGACUACAGGUGCUUGC
rnacentral:piRNA from 1 species